GUGCUCGCUUCGGCAGCACAUAUACUAAAAUUAGAACGAUACAGAGAAGAUUAGCAUCUAAAAAUUAAAAAAAAAAAAAAGAAGAAAAGAGUUUCAGAGUCUCUUUUU